GACAGAGGGUGCAAACGUUGUUCGGAAUUACUGGGCGUAAAGCGCGUGUAGGCUGCUCCGCAAGUCGGAUGUGAAAGCCCUGGGCUCAACCCAGGAAGUGCAUUCGAAACUGCGGGGCUGGAGUCCUGGAGAGGAAGGCGGAAUUCUCGGUGUAGAGGUGAAAUUCGUAGAUAUCGAGAGGAACACCGGUGGCGAAGGCGGCCUUCUGGACAGUGACUGACGCUGAGACGCGAAAGCGUGGGGAGCAAACAGG
rnacentral:rRNA from 1 species